rnacentral:SRP_RNA from 1 species
UUCGGUGGGUGCGGCGUGACGCCGUGAACCUGGUCAGGCCGGAAACGGAGCAGCCAUAGCGGGCUGUUGCGGGUGCGCCCACCACCUAU